GCGGAGGAAAAGAAACUAACUAGGAUUUCCUUAGUAGCGGCGAGCGAACAGGAAAGAGCCCAGCACCGAAUCCCGCGGCCGGUACCGGACGCUGGGAAAUGUGGUGUUUAGGAGAAUCCAUUUAUCCCGGGGUUAUGCAGCGCGUCCAAGUCCAUCUUGAAUGGGGCCAUUUACCCAUAGAGGGUGCCAGGCCCGUAGUGACCGUUGCUUAUCUCGGGAGGAUUUUUCCUUAGAGUCGGGUUGCUUGAGAGUGCAGCUCUAAGUGGGUGGUAAACUCCAUCUAAGGCUAAAUAUGACCACGAGACCGAUAGCGAACAAGUACCUUGAGGGAAAGUUGAAAAGAACUUUGAAGAGAGAGUUCAAUAGUACGUGAAACCGUUCAGGGGUAAACCUGAGAAACCCGAAAGAUCGAAUGGGGAGAUUCAAUACUUCUCGAUGCCGGCCAUCGCUUGGUGUGUGAUGUUUCGGGACUUGUCUCGUUGCACUCCGCCAAGUUUUGAGCUCGGUGACGAAUGUGUGCAUUUCUCCCCUAGUAGGACGUCGCGACCCGUUGGGUGUCGGUCUAAGGCCUGCAAGGUAGCCUGUCUCAUAUUUCGGUAUGGGGCAGACCUGCGGUGCUCCCGACCGACUGCCCGACGGUAAUCUAUGGUACAGGGCCGCUUCAUUGCGUCCUGGCCCCGCGCAAGUCAAAACGGAACUUCGGACUUCGGACUUGUCCGUCCCGGAACCGUUUAACUGUUGGCGUGGGUGGCCUCGGACAGACUCUGUUUACCGGUCGGCGACGCUAUUGCUUUGGGUACUUUCAGGACCCGUCUUGAAACACGGACCAAGGAGUCUAGCAUGUGCGCAAGUCAUUGGGAAAUACAAAACCUAAAGGCACAAUGAAAGUAAAGGUUCGCUUAAGUGAACUUAGGGAAGACGGGCUGCGUCACGAUGCAGUCCCGCACUCCCGGGGCGUCUCACUCUCAUUGAGAAGAGGCGCACCCAGAGCGUAUACGCUAGGACCCGAAAGAUGGUGAACUAUGCCUGGUCAGGUCGAAGUCAGGGGAAACCCUGAUGGAGGACCGUAGCGAUUCUGACGUGCAAAUCGAUCGUCGGAACUUGGUAUAGGGGCGAAAGACUAAUCGAACUAUCUAGUAGCUGGUUCCCUCCGAAGUUUCCCUCAGGAUAGCUGGCACUUAUGUUUGAAACUUUAUAACGAGUCUCAUCCGGUAAAGCGAAUGAUUAGAGGCCUUGGGGCCGAAACGACCUCAACCUAUUCUCAAACUUUAAAUGGGUGAGAUCUCUGGCUUGCUUGAACGUGAAGCCAGAGAUUUGGAUCAGAGUGCCAAGUGGGCCACUUUUGGUAAGCAGAACUGGCGCUGUGGGAUGAACCAAACGCCGAGUUAAGGCGCCUAAACGACGCUUAUGGGAUACCAUGAAAGGCGUUGGUUGCUUAAGACAUCAGGUCGGUUGCCAUGGAAGUCGGAAUCCGCUAAGGAGUGUGUAACAACUCACCUGCCGAAGCAACUAGCCCUGAAAAUGGAUGGCGCUGAAGCGUCGUGCCUAUACUCGGCCGCCAGAGGCAAGUGAAACGUUCGCAAGAUCGUUAUGAAGCCCUGGCGAGUAGGAGGGUCGCGGUGGUGAGCGCAGAAGGGUCUGGGCGUGAGCCUGCCUGGAGCCGCCAUCGGUGCAGAUCUUGGUGGUAGUAGCAAAUACUCCAGCGAGGCCCUGGAGGACUGACGUGGAGAAGGGUUUCGUGUGAACAGCUGUUGCACACGAGUCAGUCGAUCCUAAGCCCUAGGAGAAAUCCGAUGUCAAUGUUGGUGUAUCUUAUAAAUUUUAUUUGUAUUACACCCAUUGGGCGAAAGGGAAUCCGGUUCCUAUUCCGGAACCCGGCAGCGGAACCGUUAACUAGUCGGGCCCUCGCAAGAGAGUUCGUCGGGGUAACCCAAAAGGACCUGGAGACGCCGUCGGGAUAUCCGGGAAGAGUUUUCUUUUCUGCAUAAGCGUUCGAGUUCCCUGGAAUCCUUUAGCAGGGAGAUAGGGUUUGGAACGCGAAGAGCACCGCAGUUGCGGCGGUGUCCGGAUAUUCCCCUCGGACCUUGAAAAUCCAGGAGAGGGCCACGUGGAGGUGUCGCGCCGGUUCGUACCCAUAUCCGCAGCAGGUCUCCAAGGUGAAGAGCCUCUAGUC
rnacentral:rRNA from 2 species